rnacentral:misc_RNA from 1 species
GAUGAAGAACGCAGCAAAAUGCGAUAAGUAAUGUGAAUUGCAGAAUUCAGUGAAUCAUCGAAUCUUUGAACGCACAUUGCGCCCGCCAGUAUUCUGGCGGGCAUGCCUGUUCGAGCGUCAUUUCAACCCUCCAGCACAGCUUGGUGUUGGGACUCGCGUUAAUUCGCGUUCCCCAAAUUGAUUGGCGGUCACGUCGAGCUUCCAUAGCGUAGUAGUAAAACCCUCGUUACUGGUAAUCGUCGCGGCCACGCCGUUAAACCCCAACUUCUGAAUGUUGACCUCGGAUCAGGUAGGAAUACCCGCUGAACUUAAGCAUAUCAAUAAGCGGAGGA